GACGAACGCUGGCGGCGUGCCUAAUACAUGCCAGUUGAGCGAUGAAGAUUGGUGCUUGCUCCAAUUUGAAGAGCAGCGAACGGGUGAGUAACGCGUGGGGAAUCUGCCUUUGAGCGGGGGACAACAUCUGGAAACGAAUGCUAAUACCGCAUAAUAACUUUAAACAUAAGUUUUAAGUUUGAAAGAUGCAAUUGCAUCACUCAAAGAUGAUCCCGCGUUGUAUUAGCUAGUUGGUGAGGUAAAGGCUCACCAAGGCGAUGAUACAUAGCCGACCUGAGAGGGGGGUCGGCCACAUUGGGACUGGGACACGGCCCAAACUCCUACGGGGGGGAGCAGGAAGGAAUCUUCGGCAAUGGAGGAAAGUCUGACCGAGCAACGCCGCGGGAGGGAAGAAGGGUUUCGGAUCGUAAAACUCUGUUGGUAGAGAAGAACGUUGGUGGGAGGGGAAAGCUCAUCAAGUGACGGUAACUACCCAGAAAGGGACGGCUAACUACGUG
rnacentral:rRNA from 1 species